rnacentral:tRNA from 1 species
AUUUAUUUAGUAUAUAAGUACAUUUGACUUCCAAUCAAAAAGAUUGAUUAAUCCAAAAUAAAUA